GCCUUGAUAGCUCAGUUGGGAGAGCGUUAGACUGAAGUUCUAAAGGUCAUGGGAUCGAUCCCCAUUCGGGGCA
rfam:Absidia glauca strain CBS 101.48 genome assembly, contig: contig_213